AUGGUGCAACCAAUUAUCAAAUCAUUAUUAGACAAAAAAUUCAUAAACAAAAAACAAUACACUUACCUGCUGGGUAAUCCGAUCCCCCGGCCCAGACUGUUUUACCUGCUGCCCAAGAUACAUAAAGAGCCCUCAAAGUGGAGUGUCCCCUUUGAAAUCCCACCUGGGAGGCCGAUUGUCUCUGAUUGUGACAGUGAGACCUACUACACGGCCCAAUUUAUUGAUUAUUAUAUCAAUCCACUUUCUAACAGACACUUCGGCUAUCUCAAGGACACUUACCACUUUGUUAAUACGGUCAAACAACUCCAUAUCCCCCCCGACUCCAUCCUGUUCACUAUGGAUGUUGACAGUUUAUACACCAAUAUUGACAUUGAUGAAGGCAUUCAGGCCAUAAAAAACAUAUUUAAAAAAUUUCCAGACAAAAAGAGACCUGAUAAGGAACUAUUACAACUCCUUGCAAUUAACCUGAGGAGGAAUGAUUUUGAAUUUGACAAUAAGUUUUAUUUACAAAUUAAAGGCACUGCCAUGGGCAAAAAAUUUGCACCGGCAUAUGCCAACAUCUUCAUGGCCGAAUGGGAGACCUCCGCCCUGGCAACCUGCAACAAAAAACCAUUGCAUUAUUAUAGAUAUCUGGAUGACAUCUGGGGGGUCUGGCCCCACUCUAUGGAAGAAUUUGACCAAUUUGUACUCACCUUGAACAAUCACAACCCGUCCAUCACACUGAAGUCCACCACCAGCACCACGUCAGUCGACUUCUUGGACACCACCACCUAUAAAGGAACAAACUUCAAACAGACAAAUAAAUUAGAUAUUAAAGUUUUCUUUAAGGAAACAGACACCCAUGCUCUGCUCUUUAAAAACAGUCACCACCCAAAACACACAUACAGGGGCCUACUGAAAUCCCAAUUACUUCGGUUCCACAGAAUCUGCACUCACAAGAGUGAUUUCAUGGCGGCUACAAAGACGCUCUUCAGAGCUCUGGCCACCAGGGGGUAUUCACGCUCCUUCCGGCGUAAGGCCCACAGCACCUUCUUGGAGACAAGGCCAUUAGACACGGCGGAGGUUCUCCCCUUUGUGACCACCUAUUCCAGGCCAGCGGUCACUCUGUGCAGGAAAAUCAAACACAAUUUUUACCAAAAAGUCCUUAGGCCAGGACACCUGAAUAACCACAGGUUUAUAGCGGCCUUUAGAAAGAACAAGAACCUCCAGGAUUACCUGGUCUCGGCCAAAAUGAAGCCCCUAACGACCUCUGCACCCAGGGGCCACGGCCAAUUUUUUAAACAUGCCAGGUGGAUACGCAGCCACUCUAAUAAAACGGUCUAUAAGACCAUGGCAUGUGGUAAUCCCCACUCCAAAAACUGCGUUUACCUCAUCUCAUGUCUCUCUUGUGGCUUGCAGUAUGUUGGGGAGACCAAAAACACGCUUUUACAGCGGUUCACCCAACACAGGUACAAUAUCCAGAGACGGAGGGAAACCCACACACCUCUGGUCAGCCAUUUUCUGGCCCAUGGAUGGUCGUCUGUCCGGGCCACGAUCAUCCAGAUGGACCCUAGCUGGAAUGCCACACAGAGAACCCGAGCCGAGAGGACUUGGAUUAGGAAAUUAGAAACAUUACACCCCAAAGGCCUCAACUCCAAAUAA
ensembl:lncRNA